rnacentral:sRNA from 1 species
GGUUUCUGUUGGGUAACGGAGAAUUUAUGCUCACCAAGUUAUAGGUAACAAAGAAUUUAUACUCACCAAGUUAUAUGAUCUUUUUCUCUGCCUAACUCUUAAGUGUCCUACCUACUGUCCUUGUGCAGGCUUCCUGGGUGAUCUCCCUAUCUUCAGGACAUUAUCUGAGCCUACUCCCCAGGUCUUUCUACAACUCGGAUUUUUCUUCUGGGCACCAGCCCUGAAGACCUAGCCACUUAGAGGGCCUCUUUUUCUGUCUGUUCUCUUGGCCUCGUAAGUCCAUCAUGUCAUGACCCCUCUUUAUCUCUAACCUCCGAACACCCAAGCCAAAACCUAAGCCAUCCCCUACUCUCAGUCUCCCCUUGGUCACCAGUGCCUGCUACUUUGACUUUAGUAUCACUCUCCCCACAUCCUUCCUCAGCCUUUUCCUUGACAGGUGCAGAUUUUAACUGCUUCCCUGUCUUUCUAGUCUUGCCCCCUUCCAAGCUCUUCACCAUACUGCCACCAGUAAAGUUUGAAAACAAUAGUUGGCCAGACGCGGUGGCUCACGCCUGUAAUCCCAGCAUUUUGGGAGGCCGAGGUGAGCGGAUCACGAGGUCAGGAGAUCGAGACCAUCCUGGCUAACACAGUGAAACCCCAUCUCUACUAAAAAUACAAAAGCAAAAUUAGCCAGUCGUGGUGCUGGGCACCUGUAGUCUCAGCUACUCGGGAGGCUGAGGCAGAAGAAUGGCGUGAACCCAGGAGGUGGAGCUUGUAGUGAGCCAAGAGCACGCCACUGCACUCCAGCCUGGGUGACAGAGUGAGAAUCUAUCUCAAAAAAAUAAAAGGAAGAAAGAAAGAAAGAAAACAAUAGUUAACAUGUCCAAAUUCCUUUUUCAUCCCUCACUGACUGAAGGGAUAGGGAGGCAACAAGCCAGUAGAAGAGAAAAUGCUUUGCUAAACGUCAUCGUAUGUCUGUGUCUUAUUUUUCUUUUUUGACUAUUUAAUCUUAUUUCACUUAGGACCUUGGUUAUUUAUAUUAGUUGUCUAUAGGCAGCGGAACAUAAUUAAAUACCAUUUUCUAGUUAAAUUCACCUAAGACAGCUUUUAAACAAAACUCUUGCAUUAAAUGUUGCCAUUAAUGAAGCGUUGUUAACUUGCCUCUCUCUCCCCAGCACCUUCCUUCUCUGACUUCACUGCUUGGGGAGCAUGCUAAUGAUUCCUUGGUGUUAAUAACUUUGCAAUUCUUAAACAGGUGACAUUCCAAGCCUGCAGUAUAUCUGAGGCCAGAUACCUUUAUGAUCAGUUGGCUACUAUCUGUCCUAUUGUUAUGGCUUUGAGUGCUGCAUCUCCCUUUUACCGAGGCUAUGUGUCAGACAUUGAUUGUCGCUGGGGAGUGAUUUCUGCAUCUGUAGAUGAUAGAACUCGGGAGGAGCGAGGACUGGAGCCAUUGAAGAACAAUAACUAUAGGAUCAGUAAAUCCCGGUAUGACUCAAUAGACAGCUAUUUAUCUAAGUGUGGUGAGAAAUAUAAUGACAUCGACUUGACGAUAGAUAAAGAGAUCUACGAACAGCUGUUGCAGGAAGGCAUUGAUCAUCUCCUGGCCCAGCAUGUUGCUCAUCUCUUUAUUAGAGACCCACUGACACUGUUUGAAGAGAAAAUACACCUGGAUGAUGCUAAUGAGUCUGACCAUUUUGAGAAUAUUCAGUCCACAAAUUGGCAGACAAUGAGAUUUAAGCCCCCUCCUCCAAACUCAGACAUUGGAUGGAGAGUAGAAUUUCGACCCAUGGAGGUGCAAUUAACAGACUUUGAGAACUCUGCCUAUGUGGUGUUUGUGGUACUGCUCACCAGAGUGAUCCUUUCCUACAAAUUGGAUUUUCUCAUUCCACUGUCAAAGGUUGAUGAGAACAUGAAGGUAGCACAGAAAAGAGAUGCUGUCUUGCAGGGAAUGUUUUAUUUCAGGAAAGAUAUUUGCAAAGGUGGCAACGCAGUGGUGGAUGGUUGUGGCAAGGCCCAGAACAGCAUGGAGCUCGCUGCAGAGGAGUACACCCUCAUGAGCAUAGACACCAUCAUUAAUGGGAAGGAAGGUGUGUUUCCUGGACUGAUCCCAAUUCUGAACUCUUACCUUGAAAACAUGGAAGUGGAUGUGGACACCAGAUGUAGUAUUCUAAAUUACCUAAAGCUAAUUAAGAAGAGAGCAUCUGGAGAACUAAUGACAGUUGCCAGAUGGAUGAGGGAGUUUAUCGCAAACCAUCCUGACUACAAGCAAGACAGUGUCAUAACUGAUAAAAUGAAUUAUAGCCUUAUUUUGAAGUGUAACCAAAUUGCAAAUGAAUUAUGUGAAUGCCCAGAGUUACUUGGAUCAGCAUUUAGGAAAGUAAAAUAUAGUGGAAAUAAAACUGACUCAUCCAACUAGAUGUUCUACAGGAAAGAAAAAUGCGUUACUAUUUUAUUGACGAACUGGCUACAGUACCAUGCCUCUCAGCCCAUGUGUAUGAUAUGAAGACUAAUGUUAGAACUGUACUGUUUUCUGGGCCAGUGAGCCGGAAAUUGAUUAAGGCUUUCUUUGGUAGGUAAAUCUAGAGUUUAUACAGUGUACAUGUACAUAGUAAAGUAUUUUUGAUUAACAAUGUAUUUUAAUAACAUAUCUAAAGUCAUCGUGAACUGGCUUGUACAUUUUUAAAUUCUUACUCUGGAGCAACCUACUGUCUAAGCAGUUUUGUAAAUGUAAUGUACUGGUAAUUGUACAAUACUUGCAUUCCAGAGUUAAAAUGUUUACGGUAAAUUUUUGUUCUUUUAAAGACUACCUGGGACCUGAUUUGUUGAAAUUUUUCUCUUUAAAAACACUUUCUCUCAUUAAUUUUCCUUUGUCAUUUCCUUUGUUGUGUACAUUAAAUCACUUGAAUCCAUUGAAAGUGUUUCAAGGGUAAUCUUGGGUUUCUAGCACCUUAUCUAUGAUGUUUCUUUUGCAAUUGGAAUAAUCACUUGGUCACCUUGCCCCAAGCUUUCCCCUCUGAAUAAAUACCCAUUGAACUCUGAUGGCUGUUAUCAAAGGAACUUUUCUUUGUUUAAAUUUGCUGAUGCAGGAAUUAAGUUUAAACACAACUCUGUAGAAAGGAGAUUAUUACCCAGAAUUCACAUGUAGUGAUUAUUAAGGACAAUUUUUUUUUUAACUAAAAAAGUUGGCGGUGGGGGUAGGGGGUGGCAAUCAUUUUUCUUCCUAUACCGACAAAGGAUACUGUCAAAAAUGGCGUUAGUUCUUCUGUUGUGGACUGUUAUUCUGAUUGCUGCUGUAUACAGUUUUGUCACUCUUUAGUUUUUAGUUAAGCAUACUGAUAGACUUUCCUCUAAAAGCCAUUCACUCCAGAUUUUACCUGGGGAAUAUUCUACAUACUGCUUACAUUCUCUAUAAAACUCAUCAAUAAAUCAUGAAAGGCACUGAGUUUUGUGAAUCAGGACCCUAAAUGUUUAAUUGUAAAUAAGUUUCAGAUAAUUAUUAUAGCUUUGCUUUGAGGUUUGUUGUUUUUUUUUUUUUUUCUCAACCAGUUAAGUCUUAACUGCUUCUGAAAUAACUCUGUAUUGUAGAUUAUGCAGAUCUUUACAGGCAUAAAUAUUUAAACUGUAAUAUGCUAACUUGAAGAGAUUGCAAUAAAGCUGCUUCAGCUAACCCUGUUUAUGUUUAAAUACUAGGGUUUGUUCUAUAUUUUAUACAUGCAUUUUGGAUGAUUAAAGAAUGCCUGGUUUUCGUUUGCAAUUUGCUUGUGUAAAUCAGGUUGUAAAAAGGCAGAUAAAUUAAAAUGUUUGUGGUAUGAGGAAAUACAAGAAUGGAAUUAGCAUUCAUUCAGAAA